GGGGGGAGGGAGAGAAAGAGCAGAGGAGAUACCGGCAUAGGACAUGAAAAGCCAUCCAGCCGUUGGACGGGUAAGACGCCACAAGAAAACAGAAAAAUAGCAAGAAUAGUAAGUAAGAGUCUAGCCGUCGUUAACGGUUGUAACAAUAACGACAAGGUCUAAAACGGCUGUUACACACAAGUUUAAACUGUGGAUGCUACCCGAAUUUAAGUAGCUGGUUAGCCUUUAUCACUGUGUAAUUUAAAAGGAAUUAAGAGUGGGCUUUCGUGAAAGUGAAAACUAACUAGCUAGCUGGGUCCACUCGGGAUUGUAAGUGUCGAGAGGUUGCUUGAAUCGCAGUGGGACCGGUGACAAGCUGAGAUUUUGGACUCACCUGCUGGGAUUCUCCUCCGCCACCUCCAGACCUCCAGACCGGGAACACACGGGAGCUUUGUAAAAACACAGCCGUGUCUGUAGUAUCUGUACACAGAGAAGAAGGAGGAGGAGGAGGAGGAGGAGGAGGAGAGGGAGCGUACGGCAGGCACAAAGAGCGGAGAGCAUCUAGAGAGGGGAGGAAGGAGGACGGGACGGAGAGAGCGCGGUGAGGACAACAACGAGGACCCAACAGAGAGCAUCCCUCUUUAAAUUCUGAUCGGCACUCUGCCUGUUAGCAGCCUCUGAAAACGGGAUCCUGAACGCUGUUUAUCCACCAAAAGGGAUACCUGCUCCUGAUCUGUUUACCCCUCAGCCCCUGCAGUACCCAGUCAUCCUCUCCACUUUGUCCUGAUGAAGGAGGCCGACGCCAUAAAGCUAUUCGUGGGGCAGAUUCCCCGGAAUCUGGAAGAGAAGGACCUCAAACCCAUCUUCGAGCAGUUUGGCAAGAUCUAUGAGCUAACUGUGAUUAAGGACAAAUACACUGGCAUGCACAAAGGAUGUGCAUUUCUGACAUACUGUGCGAGAGAGUCUGCACUGAAAGCCCAGAGUGCUCUACACGAGCAGAAAACGCUACCAGGGAUGAAUCGGCCAAUCCAGGUGAAACCAGCUGACAGCGAGGGCAGAGGAGAGGAUAGGAAGUUGUUUGUAGGCAUGCUGGGAAAGCAACAGAGCGAUGAAGACGUCAGAAGGCUGUUUGAGCCCUUCGGCAGCAUAGACGAGUGUACUGUGUUGAGAGGACCCGAUGGCACCAGCAAAGGGUGCGCGUUUGUGAAAUUCCAAGGCCACGCUGAAGCCCAGGCUGCCAUCAACAGCUUGCAUGGGAGCCGCACGAUGCCUGGAGCGUCGUCCAGCCUGGUGGUGAAGUUUGCCGACACAGAGAAGGAGCGGGGGCUGAGGAGGAUGCAGCAGGUGGCCUCCCAGCUCGGCAUCUUCAGCCCCAUGACCCUCAACUUCCCCGCCUACAAUGCCUACACGCAGGCGGUCAACGCACAGCUUGUCCAACAGCAGGCCUUGGUUGCCCAGUCAGCGUACUUGUCUCCUGUGGCAACAGUGGCAGCCGUACAGAUGCAGCAGAUGGCGGCGCUCAAUGCCAACGGAAUCAUUGCCACACCCAUCACGCCCAUCACGCCGUCCUCGGGUACAAACACUCCACCAACCAUUGCAGCAACACCUGUGCCAGCUCUUCCUCCACCAAUAGGAGUGAAUGGUUACAGCAGUGUGCCCGCCCCAACCAAUGGACAACAAGCAGCAACAGAAGCACUAUACACCAACGGUGUUCACCCAUAUCAGGCUCAGAGUCCAGCAGCCCUAGACCCCCUACAGCAGGCAUAUGCAGGGAUGCAACACUACACAGCUGCGUAUCCUGCUGCCUACGGAUUGGUCGGGCAGCCGUUCCCCCAGCAGCCAACGCUGGUUGCCCAGCAACAUCAGCAGCCCCAGCAACAGCAGCAGCGAGAAGGUCCAGAGGGCUGUAACAUCUUCAUCUACCACCUGCCACAGGAGUUCAGUGACUCUGAGAUGCUGCAGAUGUUUCUGCCCUUUGGCAAUGUCAUCUCGGCUAAGGUGUUUGUUGACCGUGCCACCAACCAGAGCAAAUGCUUCGGAUUCGUGAGUUUUGACAACCCAGCCAGUGCUCAGGCUGCUAUCCAGGCCAUGAAUGGCUUCCAAAUCGGCAUGAAAAGACUGAAGGUGCAGCUGAAAAGGCCCAAAGAUGCCAACCGCCCAUACUGAGUGACAGCUGAGAGGAGGAGGAAGUAGAAAUAAAAAGAGAUCCUUCCGUCCAAUCAUAAUUCACGAGGACCCCAUCGCUAUGGCAAUGGUUGCCUAGUGACCGAUAAAGCCCUGACCCCCCCUUCCUCUCGCAUUGUUGUGACCUUUCAGAGUCCAACCAAGGUGGAAUCCCAGGGUUCAUAUUGCUUUCAGACUGUCUGCUACCUUUGAGCGUCCGGGGAGUGCAGCCACACAUGCAUACACACACACACACACACACACAAACACACAUGCACUCUCAACAUUGAACCUCAGAUGGUACAAGGCUGAAAUACAAUUGUACAUAAAGUGCACAAAACACACACACCUGCUGACACUCACACAAAUACACUCAGUUCACACGAGUCAGUAAUCUUACCCAUGCAGCCAAGGGCUUGGUUUCACCAUGGUCUGUGGGGAGUUUGCCAACAGGGUGUUUAGUACAGUUAAGAUGACUCAGACCAAGCAUGUAUGGAAGGUACUGAUGAAAAAUGCUGAUAUAUCACUUACUAAUAGACUUAAACGUGUCUAUACCGUGUCUAUUACAUGACAAAUAUAGAGGGGCCGAUGUUUCAUAAUAAAAAAAGAAAGAAAAUACAAAAAAGAUGACUAAAUGAGUAGGUUAGAGAGACUUUGGAGAAAUCCUAAUGACCUGUAAAUAAUUUAGUUUACAAAGAGCAGCAUUUAAAAAACAAGAAAAAAUGCAAAAAGAAUACUACUUUAGAUAAACACUGAACAGGACACAGCGACAUUGUUAUUAUUAUUAUUAUUAUUAUUAUUAUUAUCAUUAUUAUUAUUAUUAUUAUUAUCAUGAUUAUUACUAUCAUUGUCACUAGUAACAUCAUCAUCCUCAUAAAGGGAUAUUACAUUCCAAAUUGUAAAAUGGGAAAUCACUAACCUAUUUUAAAUUUCUACUUAGAUUUUAGGUGAAACUUGGGGGAGGGGGGACUGCACUUUUAUUCGGGAGGUUUUAAUAUUUGAGCUAUUUUUUAUUUAUUUACUAAUUUAUCAAUUAUUUUGUUUAUUGGGAGAAGGGUUUGAGUGGGUUGCAAUAUUUUGAUUUUAGAAUUUUCUAGAGAAAACCUUUUAAGGGCCUGUUUCUGUCAGACUCUUGCAAUCGAGUAAUUAUAAUGUAUGUAUUAAUUAUUACAGCAAUUAUAUUUAUUUCUAAUUUAUUGAAUCCUGUUUUUGAUCCACUCUCUUUUUAAGUUAAAAUAAAAGGUAUCAUACUAAA